rnacentral:rRNA from 1 species
GACGAACGCUGGCGGCGUGCUUAACACAUGCAAGUCGAACGGAAAGGCCCUGCUUUUGUGGGGUGCUCGAGUGGCGAACGGGUGAGUAACACGUGAGUAACCUGCCCUUGACUUUGGGAUAACUUCAGGAAACUGGGGCUAAUACCGGAUAGGAGCUCCUGCUGCAUGGUGGGGGUUGGAAAGUUUCGGCGGUUGGGGAUGGACUCGCGGCUUAUCAGCUUGUUGGUGGGGUAGUGGCUUACCAGGGCUUUGACGGGUAGCCGGCCUGAGAGGGUGACCGGCCACAUUGGGACUGAGAUACGGCCCAGACUCCUACGGGAGGCAGCAGUGGGGAAUAUUGCACAAUGGGCGGAAGCCUGAUGCAGCAACGCCGCGUGCGGGAUGACGGCCUUCGGGUUGUAAACCGCUUUCGCCUGUGACGAAGCGUGAGUGACGGUAAUGGGUAAAGAAGCACCGGCGAACUACGU